AACUCCCGUGGUGCAGUGGUUAGCGCGCAUCCUGGAAGACUCGGAUGCGGGUUCAAUUCCCGCCCGAGUCG